rnacentral:rRNA from 1 species
AACCCUUUAACGAGGAUCAAUUGGAGGGCAAGUCUGGUGCCAGCAGCCGCGGUAAUUCCAGCUCCAAUAGCGUAUAUUAAAGUUGUUGCGGUUAAAAAGCUCGUAGUCGAAUUUGUGUCCCGCGCCGCCGGUUCAUCGCUCGCGGUGUUUAACUGGCGUGUCCGCGGGACGUCCUGCCGGUGGGCUCAGCCUCCUCCUCUCUGGGGUGGGGGCGGCCCAACUUCAAAUCCCACCGCGGUGCUCUUUGCCGAGUGUCGAGGUGGGCCGGCACGUUUACUUUGAACAAAUUAGAGUGCUUAAAGCAGGCUAAAACUUCGCCUGAAUACUGUGUGCAUGGAAUAAUGGAAUAGGACCUCGGUUCUAUUUUGUUGGUUUUCGGAACUCCGAGGUAAUGAUUAAUAGGAACGGAUGGGGGCAUUCGUAUUGCGACGUUAGAGGUGAAAUUCUUGGAUCGUCGCAAGACGGACAGAAGCGAAAGCAUUUGCCAAAAACGCUUUCAUUGAUCAAGAACGAAAGUUAGAGGUUCGAAGGCGAUCAGAUACCGCCCUAGUUCUAACCAUAAACGAUGCCAGCUAGCGAUCCGCCGACGUUCCUCCGAUGACUCGGCGGGCAGCUUCCGGGAAACCAAAGCUUUUGGGUUCCGGGGGAAGUAUGGUUGCAAAGCUGAAACUUAAAGGAAUUGACGGAAGGGCACCACCAGGAGUGGAGCCUGCGGCUUAAUUUGACUCAACACGGGAAACCUCACCAGGCCCGGACACCGGAAGGAUUGACAGAUUGACAGCUCUUUCUUGAUUCGGUGGGUGGUGGUGC